GAGGCGACGCCGGCUGCCGUCUCUUAGGAGAUUUCUCCGCAGUGGGGACAGGGGUCAGGAUUUGCAGACGGGCGAGGACGAAGAGGAGAAAUCAUACAGGGUUUCUUCAUGCUUUCCUGGGACUAGAGGAAACGUCGGUCGUGUCUGGAAAAUGCACCACUUUUGACUUUGGGAGACCUCAGUCCCGGAGCCCCGUGCCCUCCUGUUGCCAUGAGAACCACCAGCUGCCCAGACCUGCUGCAUGGGUAUCAUCCUGGGAAUUCUCUUUGUGUUGAGAGCCCUGUUUCCUCAAUCCUCUUUUCUUCUUUACUUUCCUGCUAACUGGAGCACAGCCUCCGGUGUCUUCUGUGGAGUCCUGCCCAAAGGCCACAGACACGGAGCCCAGAACCAAGGUCACCUCCGAAACUGACUGAGCCUCUUUGUAACCAUUGCCAGAAGCCCCCAUGAUCAUCACCAGCAGGCUUCUCGAUCCCAUUUGAGACAAAAAUGCCCACCACACUGCUUACCCCAUAGCACCUUAACCAAUCACCUAAAGCCAGCCUUUCAGCAGGAAUUGUCUUUGUCUUAAGGCUGCAAAAACUAACCCUUAAAAACCAUCGACUUUCUCUGGUGGUCAACCCGCUAUACUUGCAGCACCUACAUUAUCUGUGCUCUUUGUU